ensembl:snoRNA SNORA70 Small nucleolar RNA SNORA70
CUGCAGCCACUUAAGCUGAUUAUGCUCGUCUGCUCCUGGAGCUCCUAGUGUGCAGUGGCUACAAACAGCCUCUUUGGUUAUAUAUACAGCCUGUUGCUUCUAUGGUUGCCCUAAGGAACUUGGACAUGGUC